GAACGAGUGUGAGUGUUCGGCUGUUUUGAAUGAUGUGUGUGUGUGUGUGUUUUUUUUUAAUAACCUACACCGUGAUCUUAUUUGAUCCGGUCGGAGUUUCGUCCUGCUCCGACUCGGAGAUGAUAAGAAGCCGCUCGUUAGCCCGCUGUGGCGGUGAGCGUUUGUCGGCCCAAAUCUUCAGGGCGCCCGCAGUAGAAACUGGGGGUAGAAAUGAUGAGUUGAUCAGAUAUACUAGUGCCGCUGGGAUUUUGGGGGCUACUCCCAAACUUCUUUCAUGCGGCCAGUGAGUAUUGAGGCGAUUCUGAUCUUC